ensembl:lncRNA
AAAUCCCAAGGAGUGGGGUUGCUGAUUCCAAGGAGAUUCGCAUCCUUCAUUUGGAUACACAGUGCCAAACCGCAUUCCAGGAGGCCUGGCAGUUCACGCCCUUGCCAGCUCACUGGUCAUCAAUGGCAAGCAUGAUCAGUUUUUCCAGCGGAUUUCAGUCUGGAGAGCACUAUUAAUUCUGACCUCCCAGGCCUCUGUUCCACUCCCAGCCAGGCUACCACAAGCUGUGUAACUUCCCAAAGUCCCAGGACCUUCCAGAAGCUGAGCACAUGGAUCAGUUUCACAAGUGCUUGUGUUGUGGACCCUGAGCUCAUAAGAACAAGAGUUGUGUACUUUCCUUCAUAUCCCAGAGUUCCAGUGGUACCCGUGGAUGUGAGCUCCUCCUAUCUCCCUCCAAGAAAGAGCUUGCUGUUCUCCUGCAAGGAAGGCAGUUAGCCGACAACCUCUGAAUGAACAUUCGUUUCGCAGAUGUCCACACUGGGUUGGCCAAGACUGUGUCAGCUCUGCAACACAGCCUGAGGCUCUCCCAGCCUGGUCCCGCUUCCUCCCCUACCCUCUUCACAAUAAACCUCUUGCACUCCUA